rnacentral:rRNA from 1 species
AGCGAACGCUGGCGGCAGGCCUAACACAUGCAAGUCGAACGAACCUUUCGGGGUUAGUGGCGGACGGGUGAGUAACACGUGGGAACGUGCCUUUAGGUUCGGAAUAACUCAGGGAAACUUGUGCUAAUACCGAAUGUGCCCUUCGGGGGAAAGAUUUAUCGCCUUUAGAGCGGCCCGCGUCUGAUUAGCUAGUUGGUUGAGGUAAUGGCUCACCAAGGCGACGAUCAGUAGCUGGUCUGAGAGGAUGAUCAGCCACAUUGGGACUGAGACACGGCCCAAACUCCUACGGGAGGCAGCAGUGGGGAAUCUUGCGCAAUGGGCGAAAGCCUGACGCAGCCAUGCCGCGUUAAUGAUGAAGGUCUUAGGAUUGUAAAAUUCUUUCACCGGGGACGAUAAUGACGGUACCCGGAGAAGAAGCCCCGGCUAACUUCGUG